AGCGAACGCUGGCGGCGUGCUUAACACAUGCAAGUCAAACGGAUCCGGGGGGCAACUCUCGGGAUUAGUGGCGAACGGGUGAGUAACACGUGGGUAAUCUUCCCCCGAGUGAGGAAUAAGUCUGCGAAAGCGGGUCUAAUACCGCAUGACGCUCCGGGACAUAAGUCCUCGGAGUUAAAGCCGUAAGGCGCUUGGGGAUGAGCCUGCGUCCUAUUAGCUAGUUGGUAGGGUAAUGGCCUACCAAGGCUAUGAUGGGUAGCCGGCCUGAGAGGGUGAACGGCCACACUGGGGACUGAGACACGGCCCAGACUCCUACGGGUGGCUG
rnacentral:rRNA from 1 species